ACGCGCGGAACCUUACCAGGUCUUGACAUCCCAUUGACCGCUAUGGAGACAUAGCUUUCCCUUCGGGGACAGUGGUGACAGGUGGUGCAUGGUUGUCGUCAGCUCGUGUCGUGAGAUGUUGGGUUAAGUCCCGCAACGAGCGCAACCCUUGUUCUUAGUUGCCAGCAUUAAGUUGGGCACUCUAAGGUGACUGCCGGUGACAAACCGGAGGAAGGUGGGGAUGACGUCAAAUCAUCAUGCCCCUUAUGACCUGGGCUACACACGUGCUACAAUGGACGGUACAAACGGUUGCCAACCCGCGAGGGGGAGCUAAUCCGAUAAAACCGUUCUCAGUUCGGAUUGUAGGCUGCAACUCGCCUGCAUGAAGCCGGAAUCGCUAGUAAUCGCGGAUCAGCAUGCCGCGGUGAAUACGUUCCCGGGCCUUGCACACACCGCCCGU
rnacentral:rRNA from 1 species